rnacentral:rRNA from 1 species
CGAACGCUGGCGGCGUGCUUAACACAUGCACGUCGAACGGCAAGGCCCUGCUUUUGUGGGGUGCUCGAGUGGCGAACGGGUGAGUAACACGUGAGUAACCUGCCCUUGACUUUGGGAUAACUUCAGGAAACUGGGGCUAAUACCGGAUAGGAGCUCCUGCUGCAUGGUGGGGGUUGGAAAGUUUCGGCGGUUGGGGAUGGACUCGCGGCUUAUCAGCUUGUUGGUGGGGUAGUGGCUUACCAAGGCUUUGACGGGUAGCCGGCCUGAGAGGGUGACCGGCCACAUUGGGACUGGGAUACGGCCCAGACUCCUACGGGAGGCAGCAGUGGGGAAUAUUGCACAAUGGGCGGAAGCCUGAUGCAGCAACGCCGCGUGCGGGAUGACGGCCUUCGGGUUGUAAACCGCUUUCGCCUGUGACGAAGCGUGAGUGACGGUAAUGGGUAAAGAAGCACCGGCUAACUACGUG